rnacentral:rRNA from 1 species
GACGAACGCUGGCGGCGUGCUUAACACAUGCAAGUCGAACGGAAAGGCCCUGCUUGCAGGGUACUCGAGUGGCGAACGGGUGAGUAACACGUGUGUGAUCUGCCCUGCACUUCGGGAUAAGCCUUGGAAACUGGGUCUCAUACCGGAUAGGAGCCAUUUCUCGUGUGAUGGUUGGAACGUUUUUUCGGUAGAGUAUGAGCUCGCGGCCUAUCAGCUAGUUGGUGAGGUAAUGGCCUACCAAGGCGGCGACGGGUAGCCGGCCUGAGAGGGUGACCAGCCACACUGGGACUGAGACACGGCCCAGACUCCGACGGGAGGCAGCAGUGGGGAAUCGUGGGCAAUGGGUGAAAGCCUGACGCAGCCAGGCCGCGUGAAUGAUGAAGGUAUUAGGAUUGUAAAAUUCUUGCACCGGGGACGAUAAUGACGGUACACGGAGAAGAAGCCCCGGCUAACUUCGUG